rnacentral:lncRNA from 1 species
GUUUUAGAAGGCUCACAAUAGGUAGCACACUGCAUAUUUAACAUACUUACAAUAGAGAUUAUGAUUAAUAUUCAUGUCAUGUGCAAUCUUAUGUAAAAAAUCCUGUGCAUUAAUACAUGUUUUUCAUAUGAAUUCAAAUUAGGAAUUGGACCAAGUCAUGUUAAACAUUGAUUUAAUGUCUUGAAAAAGAAUAUUGAAUAAAACUAGAUUAUCAAUUGUCAUUAACAUCAAAAAAUAUUUGCUAUUUUUAUGAGUCCAGAAUUGGAAAAAUAGCACUAAUAGGAAGAUUCAAAAAUCCAAUGCGUUCAUCUCAUAUCGAUAAAACCACUUUUAAUUGCUUAGUUAGAAUUAAUAUAAACAAACCCAAUCCCUUUUGUAUUACGAUACAUCGAAUUUGGUAUUAACUAAUACACUAUUAUUAAAUAUUAUUCCUUUUGGGACGAUUACUCAACUCAUUUAUUCUAUUACUUGUCAACAUUUCCGUAUGCUUGCAGAUUUUAUCCGUACACCCUCUAAUUUCAAUAAUGCAAAACCUUUAUUACCCACUAGCCUCCAUCAUCACUUACCUUCUAUGCACACGAGCAAAGCAACUCAACAAACAGUUGUAACAUGUAUCAUUUUAAAGCCUUGAUCAUUGCCCAUUCCAAUUAAUCAUUAUAGUAACAAAUCAUAAGAAGCCCUAAGCACUGAAAAUUAAGCUCACCAGCUUAGCCGAUCAAUCUCCAGAAAAGCUCAGCACACACUUCUAAAGCUUCAAUGAUCAAUCUAUCAAAAACAAUAACCUGUUCUGGUUCAUGAAAUAUCAAACAACUGUCAAUAUGGAUAAGUGGCUCAAUCCAACAGAAUAACAAACUCUAAAGAACAUUUCUUUUCACAAUAAAAUAAAGGUUGGAUCAUAGCACAGUCCACAAGAAUAAGAAAUAACUCACAAGGCAAUACGACACUUAUGUACAAUUACACAAACUUGCACAACCAGGCUAGGCUCAUUCCAAGAGUACACUAAACUCUAUAGCACAAUAUUUUUUUCAUUAUUAAAAUCAAGGUUGGAUGUUUACUUACGCUCCCAUAUUCCACAAAAUCAAGAAGUAACCCACAGGGAAAUACCACCCAUAUGUAUAAUUAUCCUAACUUGAAAAUCACACCCAAAAGGGGUAUUCAAACAUCCAAGAUUCCAAAAGUGAAGCAGUCGAUCAGUUUAACUCAAUAAAAGCAUUGCGCUUUAAUAACAAAAUUUGUUCAGGAAAAAAUCUGAGGUAAAUAACCUUUUACAUUCAAAUCAAACAUUUUAGUGAUCAACAACAGCGCUGGAAAUCUAAAAGCUAAGAUAGAAACGAACACCAAUUAGGCCUAGACAGCAAAUUAAAUUAGGUUAGAAGCUAGAGAAAGUAUGAACAAUAAAGAAUAAAGAAGCUCAUAUAAAAAAAAAUGGAAACAGAAUUUCAUUGAUUGAAGAACAGAUUAAGGAUUUAAGACAGAUCAAAGCACAAUCAUUUAAAACUAACACAAAACACUUCCCCCAACAAAGUUCCCCCAUUUAUACAAAACUUUAACACCGCCCAAAAUCCCUCUCCCCAACCCUAACCAAAGCAAUUUAACCGCCAAAUCCAUAUAAGGUCCUCCCCUGCCUCUUGAGGGCGUACACAACAUCCAUGGCUGUCACAGUUUUACGGCGAGCGUGCUCAGUGUAGGUGACAGCAUCACGGAUAACGUUCUCAAGAAAGAUCUUGAGGACGCCACGUGUCUCCUCGUAUAUAAGCCCACUGAUACGCUUCACUCCACCACGGCGAGCCAACCGACGAAUCGCCGGCUUUGUGAUGCCCUGAAUGUUAUCCCUCAGCACUUUGCGGUGACGCUUGGCACCACCCUUUCCCAAACCCUUGCCGCCUUUUCCUCUUCCUGACAUUUUUUUUUCUUGGAGAGAAAUCUGAUUUUUCAACGAAUUUGAUUUUUGAUGCGGGAGUGAAAAUGGUGUGAUUUGGAAGGCUAUAUAUUUGGAAAGUAUAGAGGAAAAAUUACUUGAGAGCCGUUGAUUUCAGGUGUUAAUC